rnacentral:rRNA from 1 species
AUACGGAGGGUGCGAGCGUUAAUCGGAAUUACUGGGCGUAAAGCGCGCGUAGGCGGUUAGAUAAGUCUGAUGUGAAAGCCCUGGGCUCAACCUGGGAAUGGCAUUGGAUACUGUUUAACUAGAGUGCAGGAGAGGAGAGUGGAAUUCUCGGUGUAGCGGUGAAAUGCGUAGAUAUCGGGAGGAACACCAGUGGCGAAGGCGGCUCUCUGGACUGACACUGACGCUGAGGUGCGAAAGCCAGGGUAGCAAACGGGAUUAGAAACCCCAGUAGUCC